rnacentral:rRNA from 1 species
GACAGAGGGGGCAAGCGUUGCUCGGAAUUACUGGGCGUAAAGGGCGCGUAGGCGGGAUGGCAAGUCGGUCGUGAAAUCCCUCGGCUCAACUGAGGAUCGUCGAUCGAUACUGCCGUUCUUGAGGAUUGCAGAGGAGACUGGAAUUCCCGGUGUAGCGGUGAAAUGUGUAGAGAUCGGGAGGAACACCGGUGGCGAAGGCGGGUCUCUGGGCAACUCCUGACGCUGAGGCGCGAAAGCGUGGGGAGCAAACGGG